rnacentral:rRNA from 1 species
GAUGAACGCUGGCGGCGUGCCUAAUACAUGCAAGUCGAGCGAACAGACGAGGAGCUUGCUCCUCUGAUGUUAGCGGCGGGCGGGUGAGUAACACGUGGAUAACCUACCUAUAAGACUGGGAUAACUUCGGGAAACCGGAGCUAAUACCGGAUAACAUGUUGAACCGCAUGGUUCAACAGUGAAAGACGGUCUUGCUGUCACUUAUAGAUGGAUCCGCGCCGCAUUAGCUAGUUGGUAAGGUAACGGCUUACCAAGGCAACGAUGCGUAGCCGACCUGAGAGGGUGAUCGGCCACACUGGAACUGAGACACGGUCCAGACUCCUACGGGAGGCAGCAGUAGGGAAUCUUCCGCAAUGGGCGAAAGCCUGACGGAGCAACGCCGCGUGAGUGAAGAAGGUCUUCGGAUCGUAAAACUCUGUUAUUAGGGAAGAACAAAUGUGUAAGUAACUAUGCACGUCUUGACGGUACCUAAUCAGAAAGCCACGGCUAACUACGUG